CCGGCCCGCCGCGCCCGCACCUGCUCGGGCCGCGCCGGAGUCGGCGCUUCCCAAGCCUGUGGAUGGCACGGGGAAAGCGUCCGGCACAGGCGUGAUGCCUUAGGGGUGGCCUGUAAGAGUUGCUGUGUUUCUUGGAGUGCGAGAGAUUAGAGGCGGCUUUACCAUCAAAACAGAGCCAUGGGGGUGGCAGCUUGCAACAGCAGCUCAACAUGGGCACAGAGACCAUCACCCUGGGGCUUCACAUUGAAGAAACUCCAUGUCAGAGAGAUGUCUCAUUUAAUACAUCAUAUUU